rnacentral:rRNA from 1 species
GAUGAACGCUGGCGGCGUGCUUAACACAUGCAAGUCGAGCGAACAGACCAUGAGCUUGCUGCUUUCACGUGUGCGGAACACGUGAGAGUAACACGAGUAUAACCCCCCUAUCAUACUGAUAUAUUUACGAGAAACCGGAUAUAAUACCAGAGAAUCUAUUGAAGCGCAGGGGUCAUUAGUAAGUGACGGCUGUGCGGUCUCUUAUCGAUGGUUCCGCGCCGGAUUAGCUGGUUGGUGAGGUAACGGCUUACCACGGCAACGAGGCGUAGGCGACGUGAGGGGGUGGUCGGCGACCCGGGAACGGAGACACGGUCCAGACUCCUACGGGACGCAGCAGUAGGGAAUGUGCCGCAGUGGGCGAGAGCCUGACGGAGCGACGGCGCGUGAGUGGUGAAGGUCCUCGGAUCGUAAUACUGUGUUUUUGGUGAAGAACAAAUGUGUCAGUAACUGUGGACUUAUUGACGGUACCUAGUCAAAAAGCCCCGGCUAACUACGUG